CGGUGCAGAGGCUCACCUCCACCAGGUCCCAGAAGAACACCUUCCCGUCCUCGGAGCAGCUGACCACGUGUGUGUCACGCUCGCUCAGGCAGCAGUCCAGCUUGUACUCCUGGUUCUUAUGGCCCGUGUACCUGGGUCUCCCCUGUGUCCUUGUCUAGAAGCCGCAACGUGGAGUCCAGGCUGGACACCAGGGUGCACUGCCCGUCCCGGCUGAAGCAGGUGCAGGUGAUGGGGCCUGGGGGAAGGGGAGGGGUGGGCAAGCAGGUCAGGCUGGGGUCUCCCGUGCUGCCCCCACCUUCCCUGCCUGCCUUACAGCCCCAGCCACACUCACUGCCCACGUAGUCUGAGAAGAGUUGCCCCAUCCUCAGGUCAUAGCGCCUUACCCGGCCAUCUACGGAGCUGCAAGAGAGGAUGGAUCCAGCUGAAGCAUCACGGGCGCCAGUAGGUCCAGGGCUCCAGCUUUGGUGUUCCUGUACCCUCUCACCUGGCCAGGGCCCUGAGAGCAAGGCUGGGUGCCUGCCCUUCCUGGGCACCCUUCACUGUCAUGUAAUGUUCAGGACUGGCCACAGAAAACAUACAUUGAAGUGAAUUCAUGAGUGGAAUUCUGAGGCACUGGCUUUGAGACUCAGCCCCAGGGGCCAAUCAGGUCCCACUGCAUCUGUUUCUGAUUUAUACUGAGCUCCUUCUCUGGGCUACACCCUGUGUGGGAGCUUGGGACACAGCUGCUACCAAGCCAGGAGCACUUGCUGCCAACGUGGAGCCUUGCUGACUGAGGGUAAUCAGGUCCCCGAGGAGGUGACGUUUGGAUUGGUACUUGAAGAUGAGAAGGAGCCAGCCAUAUGCAGUCCAAGGGGGGAUGUGUGGGAACUGGGUAGGCCACCACGCCACGCAGCCCAAAUGCCCCCAGUGGUGGUAUUGGCACUCCCUCAGGUUGUGGCAACAUUUGGGCAGCCCUGCAUGGGAAUAUAUUUUUUUUAAUUGUCUCCUGCAGGUAGAACAUCAACUCUAUGUAAGUGGGGUUUUUCCUUGUUUUCCUAUCUUUUCACUCCUGUAUGCUCAUUGACUGAAAACGUGACCUGCAGGUGGUGCUCAAACACACUCGGAAUAAGUAGUAGAAGGGUAGCCCAGGCAGAGGAAGAGCAAUUGCAAAAGUCGGUCCUGGGGUGGGAGCAUGUGUGGCAUAUUUAACAGAAAUGAGCCUGGGAAUGAAUAAAAACUGAGAGCACAACAGAGACCAGACCAUGCAAGGCCUUGUGAGUGCAGUGAGGAGAGUAGUUUUUUUUUUUUUUUUUU